GAUGAACGCUGGCGGCGUGCCUAAUACAUGCAAGUCGAGCGAACGGACGAGAAGCUUGCUUUUCUGAUGUUAGCGGCGGACGGGUGAGUAACACGUGGAUAACCUACCUAUAAGACUGGGAUAACUUCGGGAAACCGGAGCUAAUAUCGGAUAAUAUUUUGAACCGCAUGGUUCAAAAGUGAAAGACGGUCUUGCUGUCACUUAUAGAUGGAUCCGCGCUGCAUUAGCUAGUUGGUAAGGUAACGGCUUACCAAGGCAACGAUGCAUAGCCGACCUGAGAGGGUGAUCGGCCACACUGGAACUGAGACGCGGUCCAGACUCCUACGGGAGGCAGCAGUAGGGAAUCUUCCGCAAUGGGCGAAAGCCUGACGGAGCAACGCCGCGUGAGUGAUGAAGGUCUUCGGAUCGUAAAACUCUGUUAUUAGGGAAGAACAUAUGUGUAAGUAACUGUGCACAUCUUGACGGUACCUAAUCAGAAAGCCACGGCUAACUACGUG
rnacentral:rRNA from 1 species